rnacentral:rRNA from 1 species
AAAAAAGGUAAGCUACUAAGAGCGAAUGGUGGAUGCCUUGACUGGUAAAGGCGAUGAAGGACGUACUAGACUGCGAUAAGCUACGGGGAGCUGUCAAGAAGCUUUGAUCCGUAGAUUUCCGAAUGGGGCAACCCAAUGUAUAGAGAUAUACAUUACCUAUAUAGGAGCGAACGAGGGGAAUUGAAACAUCUUAGUACCCUCAGGAAAAGAAAUCAAUAGAGAUUGCGUCAGUAGCGGCGAGCGAAAGCGCAAGAGGGCAAACCCAGUGCUUGCACUGGGGGUUGUAGGACUGCAAUGUGCAAGAGGUGAGUUUAGCAGAACAUUCUGGAAAGUAUAGCCAUAGAGGGUGAUAGUCCCGUAUGCGAAAAACAAACCUUAGCUAGCAGUAUCCUGAGUAGGGCGGGACACGAGAAAUCCUGUCUGAAGCUGGGUCGACCACGAUCCAACCCUAAAUACUAAUACCAGAUCGAUAGUGCACAAGUACCGUGAGGGAAAGGUGAAAAGAACUGAGGUGAUCAGAGUGAAAUAGAACCUGAAACCAUUUGCUUACAAUCAUUCAGAGCCCUAUGUAGCAAUACAGGGUGAUGGACUGCCUUUUGCAUAAUGAGCCUGCGAGUUGUGGUGUCUGGCAAGGUUAAGCAAACGCGAAGCCGUAGCGAAAGCGAGUCUGAAUAGGGCGCUUAGUCAGAUGCUGCAGACCCGAAACGAAGUGAUCUAUCCAUGAGCAAGUUGAAGCUAGUGUAAGAACUAGUGGAGGACUGAACCCAUAGGCGUUGAAAAGCCCCGGGAUGACUUGUGGAUAGGGGUGAAAGGCCAAUCAAACUUCGUGAUAGCUGGUUCUCUCCGAAAUAUAUUUAGGUAUAGCGUUGUGUCGUAAUAUAAGGGGGUAGAGCACUGAAUGGGCUAGGGCAUACACCAAUGUACCAAACCCUAUCAAACUCCGAAUACCUUAUAUGUAAUCACAGCAGUCAGGCGGCGAGUGAUAAAAUCCGUCGUCAAGAGGGAAACAACCCAGACUACCAGCUAAGGUCCCUAAAUCUUACUUAAGUGGAAAACGAUGUGAAGUUACUUAAACAACCAGGAGGUUGGCUUAGAAGCAGCCAUCCUUUAAAGAAAGCGUAAUAGCUCACUGGUCUAGUGAUUUUGCGCGGAAAAUAUAACGGGGCUAAAGUAAGUACCGAAGCUGUAGACUUGCGCACAACUUAGAUUAUUUAAGUUUAGAAUAUGAGAAACUAAGUUAUAUGUUUAGUUAUAUUUUUACUGAUUUUUAUAGAGUAAAGAUAGAAAUAAAACUUAGUAAAAUCAGUAAAAAUAUUCUUAGACUAAAGUUAAGUAGUUUAAGUUGUGUGCAAGUGGUAGGAGAGCGUUCUAUUUGCGUCGAAGGUAUACCGGUAAGGAGUGCUGGAGCGAAUAGAAGUGAGCAUGCAGGCAUGAGUAGCGAUAAUUAAUGUGAGAAUCAUUAACGCCGUAAACCCAAGGUUUCCUACGCGAUGCUCGUCAUCGUAGGGUUAGUCGGGUCCUAAGUCGAGUCCGAAAGGGGUAGACGAUGGCAAAUUGGUUAAUAUUCCAAUACCAACAUUAGUGUGCGAUGGAAGGACGCUUAGGGCUAAGGGGGCUAGCGGAUGGAAGUGCUAGUCUAAGGUCGUAGGAGGUUAUACAGGCAAAUCCGUAUAACAAUACUCCGAGAACUGAAAGGCUUUUUGAAGUCUUCGGAUGGAUAGAAGAACCCCUGAUGCCAUCGAGCCAAGAAAAGUUUCUAAGUUUAGCUAAUGUUGCCCGUACCGUAAACCGACACAGGUGGGUGGGAUGAGUAUUCUAAGGCGCGUGGAAGAACUCUCUUUAAGGAACUCUGCAAAAUAGCACCGUAUCUUCGGUAUAAGGUGUGGUUAGCUUUGUAUUAGGAUUUACUCCGAAAGCAAGGAAACUUACAACAAAGAGUCCCUCCCGACUGUUUACCAAAAACACAGCACUCUGCUAACUCGUAAGAGGAUGUAUAGGGUGUGACGCCUGCCCGGUGCUCGAAGGUUAAUUGAUGGGGUUAGCAUUAGCGAAGCUCUUGAUCGAAGCCCGAGUAAACGGCGGCCGUAACUAUAACGGUCCUAAGGUAGCGAAAUUCCUUGUCGGUUAAAUACCGACCUGCAUGAAUGGCGUAACGAGAUGGGAGCUGUCUCAAAGAGGGAUCCAGUGAAAUUGUAGUGGA